AAGGAAUUAGUUAAAUUAUAACAUUAAAGUGUCAAUUUAAAAUAACCAACAGGUAUUUCUUG
rnacentral:tRNA from 1 species